rnacentral:rRNA from 1 species
GACGAACGCUGGCGGCGUGCCUAAUACAUGCAAGUCGAACGCAGUGGGGACGGGUGAGUAACACGUGGGUAACCUCCCAUCAGAGGGGAUAACACUUGGAAACAGGUGCUAAACCGAUAUAGAUGGAUGGACCCGCUGUGCAUUAACUAGUUGGUGAGGUAACGGCUCCCCAAGGCCACGAUGCAUAGCGUACCUGAGAGGUUGAUCCGACACACUGGGACGGAGACACGGCCCACACUCCUACGGGAGGCAGCAGUAGGGAAUCUGCGGCAAUGGACGAAAGUCUGACCGAGCAACGCCGCGUGAGUGAAGAAGGUUUUCGGAUCGUAAAACUCUGUUGUGAGAGAAGCGGUAUCUAACCAGAAAGCCACGGCUAACUACGUGCCAGCCGCCGCGGUAAUAC